rnacentral:rRNA from 1 species
UACGUAGGGGGCGAGCGUUGUCCGGAAUUACUGGGCGUAAAGGGUGCGUAGGCGGCCUGAUAAGUCAGAUGUGAAAUACCAGGGCUCAACCCUGGGGGUGCAUUUGAAACUGUUGGGCUUGAGUGCAGGAGAGGAAAGUGGAAUUCCUAGUGUAGCGGUGAAAUGCGUAGAGAUUAGGAGGAACACCAGUGGCGAAGGCGACUUUCUGGACUGUAACUGACGCUGAGGCACGAAAGCGUGGGUAGCGAACAGGAUUAGAUACCCUGGUAGU